rnacentral:lncRNA from 1 species
AUGCUUUCAGGGGGAAAAGGAAAAAACUCGCUUCUGAGCAGGGCCCUGAGUUGCUUUGUUAACUGCUAGCACUUCCCCACAACCCUGAGAUUUGGAAGGAUGUUGUGUUGGGAAUCGCUGAUCUGAAACAGUGUGCUUCCCUCUGUGCCUCCCUAGUAUGUGCCUCUUCCUAGAGACUGAUGCCUGGGAAGAUGAGCAGUCUGGGAACGGAGUCACUUGAGGACCUAUGGGAGACUGGACCUGCUU